rnacentral:rRNA from 1 species
UACAGAGGUCCCAAGCGUUGCGCGGAAUCACUGGGCUUAAAGGGUGCGUAGGCGGAUGUGCAAGUGCCUUGUGAAAUCCCCGGGCUCAACCCGGGAACUGCUUGGUAGACUGCAUGUCUUGAGGUCGGUAGGGGUUGCUGGAACAGUUGGUGGAGCGGUGAAAUGCGUAGAUAUCAACUGGAACGCCAAAGGCGAAGGCAAGCAACUGGGCCGAUUCUGACGCUGAGGCACGAAAGCGUGGGGAGCAAACGGG